UUUCCGUAGGUGAACCUGCGGAAGGAUCAUUAAAAAUAUCACUCGAUUGAGAGUGAUUUAAUAAUCAUCCUACCCUUUGUGAAUUUGUGUUUGAAAUAAUUUUUUUUGAUUUUAAAAAAAAUUAUUUAUGGUUUUGUCUAUCCCUAAAAUUGGUUUGUUUGUUGUAAAAGACAAGUGAAUCAAUUUAGGGAAUAGGCUUUCAUAAAUAAGUUUUCUUUAAAGUCUUAAAGACCUUUUUUUAAAAUUAAACUUUUGUAUUCAUUUGUCUAAAUUUUUUUAAAUAAUUUAAAACAGCUUUCGACAAUGGAUCUCUUGGUUCUCGCAACGAUGAAGAACGCAGCAAAAUGCGAUAAGUAAUGUGAAUUGCAGAAUACGUGAAUCAUCAAAUCUUCGAACGCAUAUUGCACUUUUUUAGUUUACUAAAAAGUAUGUCUGUUUGAGUAUCAGUAAAAUAUUCUCAUAAAAACAUUUUUUGUUUUAUGGUUAUGAGUGUUUUACAACGAUAAACAAGUUGUUUCACUUUAAAUUCAUUUUAAUUAAGACCUUUAUGGUUUAAUAAUUAAAAUUGGAUAAAUUUUCCCGUAAAAAGGAAUAAACUUUUCAGUUUUAGUUAGAGAAAUCUCGGUCCGAUUUUAAAAGGAAAUUUAUUUUAAAUAACUUGAUCUCAAAUCAGAUAAGAGUACCCGCUGAACUUAAGCAUAUCAAUAAGCGGAGGAAAAGAAACUAACAAGGAUUCCCUUAGUAACGGCGAGUGAAGCGGGAAGAGCUCAAAUUUGAAAUCUUCAAGGUUCUACCUUGACGAAUUGUAGUUUAAAGAAGUGUUUUCUGUUAGAUGAGUAGCAAAAGUUCCUUGGAAUGGGACAUCAUAGAGGGUGAGAAUCCCGUAUUUGGUUAUUCAUUCUAGCUUUGUGAUACACUUUCAGAGAGUCGGAUUGUUUGGGAAUGCAGUCCAAAAUGGGUGGUAAAUUUCAUCUAAAGCUAAAUAUUGGCGAGAGACCGAUAGCGAACAAGUACCGUGAGGGAAAGAUGAAAAGAACUUUGAAAAGAGAGUUAAACAGUACGUGAAAUUGUCAAAAGGGAAGCGUUUGACACCAGUGUUGUUUUUCCGAAAAUCAAUUACGAAUGGCUUGAUUUUGUGUUGUAUUGACCUUAUCAGCUUUCUUCACUUUUUUCGAGUCUUUCUUAAUGCACUUUUCGGUUAACAAGUCAACAUCAAUUUCUUUUGUUGUAAAAGAGUAUUCGGAAGGUGGCUUUCUUUUCGGAGAAAGUGUUUAUAGCCCUAUACUUCUACAAUCGGAGAGAUUGAGGUCUGCAGCGUAGAUCCUUCGGGUUAGAUACAUUUGUGCUAAGUUGUAGCUUUUCAUAGACAACUUGUUGACUAUGUUUAGUCAUGCGGCUUACUCGCUUAUGCUAUUUACCUACGCUUAGGAUGUUGA
rnacentral:misc_RNA from 1 species